ACACGAGGAAGAAGAAAUAAUAUUUAAAAAAGGUAACUUGAUUUUUGAAGAAGUACUGUAGAAGACAUUUUUAUAAAGCUGUUGUGUAUCAGACAUUGUCAAAGCAAUUUUUGAAGAAGUACUGUAGAAGACAUUUUUAUAAAGCUGUUGUGUAUCAGACAUUGUCAAAGCACAUUUUAUUUUGGAAUUUUAGCCUAGUUGGUUUACAUCCAUAGCUGAUUUCUAUACUUUACCAAUAGAGUCAUGGCACGUAAAUCAAAAAAGAGCAAAGCCUCCAAAGCCAAAGAACAAAAACUAAGAAUGAGAGAAAGAAGGUUGGCAGAGGAGGCUUUGCAACAGUCUACUGAUAUUGAUAACUUUGAAGGAGAAAGCACUGAUAAUGGUUAUCCUGAAGGAGAAAACACUGUUAAUGAAUUUGCUGUCAAUAAAAUUGAAAUA